rnacentral:rRNA from 1 species
GACGAACGCUGGCGGCGUGCUUAACACAUGCAAGUCGAACGGAAAGGCCUCUUUCGGGGGGUACUCGCGUGGCGAACGGGUGAGUAACACGUGAGUAACCUGCCCUUGACUUUGGGAUAACUUCAGUAAACUGGGGCUAAUACCGGAUAGGAGCUCCUGCUGCAUGGUGGGGGUUGGAAAGUUUCGGCGGUUGGGGAUGGACUCGCGGCUUAUCCGCUUGUUGGUGGGGUAGUGGCUUACCAAGGCUUUGACGGGUAGCCGGCCUGAGAGGGUGACCGGCCACAUUGGGACUGAGAUACGGCCCAGACUCCUACGGGAGGCAGCAGUGGGGAAGAUUGCACAAUGGGUGGAAGCCGGAUGCAGCAACGCCGUGGGCGGGAGGACGGCCUUAGGGUUGUAAACCGCUUUCGCUCAUGACGAAGCUUUGUGUGACGGUAGUGGGUAAAGAAGCACCGGCUAACUACGUG